rnacentral:misc_RNA from 1 species
GUGAAUCAUCGAAUCUUUGAACGCAAAUUGCACUCUCUUCUGAGAGUAUGCCUGUUUGAGGGUCAGCCUAAAAAAUAAUCGACAUAUUUGCUUUUACGCGGUAACAUUCGUCGGAAAUUGGGUCAUCUUAAACCUUUGUGUUUAAGCGGCUUAUAAUUUUCUUUACGAUUCCACGAACGUUUCUAAUAUUUUACUUCUUACACGUUUAAGGUAUCGAUCUUUAUUAUACGUGCCCGUUGCAUCGGAUUACGUCCAUAAAUAUUUCGUUAAAUGAACCCAUACACGUACGCA